GAUCAUGGCUCAGGAUGAACGCUAGCUACAGGCUUAACACAUGCAAGUCGAGGGGAAACGACAUCGAAGGCUUGCUUUUGGUGGGCGUCGACCGGCGCACGGGUGAGUAACGCGUAUCCAACCUGCCCAUCACUUGGGAAUAACCUUGCGAAAGUAAGACUAAUGCCCAAUGAUAUCCCACGAAGGCAUCCGAAUGGGAUUAAAGAUUUAUCGGUGAUGGAUGCGGAUGCGU
rnacentral:rRNA from 1 species